rnacentral:rRNA from 1 species
UACAGAGGUCUCGAGCGUUAGGCGGAAUCACUGGGCUUAAAGCGUGUGUAGGCGGAUUUGUAAGUACCUUGUGAAAUCCCACGGCUCAACCGUGGAACUGCUCGGUAUACUGCGAGUCUUGAGCCACUUAGGGGCUACCGGAACAAAUGGUGGAGCGGUGAAAUGCGUAGAUAUCAUUUGGAACGCCAAUGGUGAAAACAGGUAGCUGGGAGUGUGCUGACGCUGAGACACGAAAGCCAGGGGAGCGAACGGG